GACGAACGCUGGCGGCGUGCCUAAUACAUGCAAGUGGAACGCAUUGGUAACACCGGACUUGCUCCAGUGUUACUAAUGAGUCGCGAACGGGUGAGUAACGCGUAGGUAACCUGCCUGAUAGCGGGGGAUAACUAUUGGAAACGAUAGCUAAUACCGCAUAAGAGGAGUUAACUCAUGUUAACUGUUUAAAAGAAGCAACGGCUUCACUAUCAGAUGGACCUGCGUUGUAUUAGCUAGUAGGUAGGGUAACGGCCUACCUAGGCAACGAUACAUAGCCGACCUGAGAGGGUGAACGGCCACACUGGGACUGAGACACGGCCCAGACUCCUACGGGAGGCAGCAGUAGGGAAUCUUCGGCAAUGGACGCAAGUCUGACCGAGCAACGCCGCGUGAGUGAAGACGGUUUUCGGAUCGUAAAGCUCUGUUGUAGGGGAAGAACGUGUGUAAGA
rnacentral:rRNA from 1 species